CGAGGGGGCGCGGCGCGCCUGCUCCCGCGCAUGCUCAGUGCUGCGAGGGAGCGACGCAGCCCCUAGGCGGGGCGGGCUGGAAGGCGGAGGCUAAGGGGCCUCGCCCCCGCGGCCGGGGACUUGCAGCGCGAGCUGCAGCCGCUGGGAUCAGUGAUGGCUCCGUGGGUCUCCCCGACUCCCCCUGCGCCGGGCGCCCAGGGGAACCCCUCCGACCUCGGAAAUCAAGAUUUUCCUAAUAUUUUGGCAAGCCAUGGUUUAGAAAGUACUACAUCUCAAGCUGUCGGUGAUCACGCAGGAAGUGGCAUGCAUCCAGAAUAUCUUGCUUAUGGGUUGGUUCCUGUCUUUUUCAUCAUGGGCCUUUUGGGGAUCCUCAUCUGUCAUGUGCUUAAGAAAAAAGGAUAUCGGUGUAGAACAGAGGCCGAGCAAGAAAUUGAAAAGGAAAAACUUGGAGAAAAAAUAGAAAUGAAUGAAAGUGUAAAUGACAAUAACGAUACUGUGGGGCGAAUCGUCAACAUCAUUAUGGAAAAUGAAGCAAAUGCUGAUAUGUUAAAGGCCAUGGUGGCAGAUAACAGUGUGUGUGAUCCUGAAAGCCCCGUGUCUCCUAACACUCCAGGCAGUCCUACAAGUCCAGGCUCUCCUUUGUCACCAGGUGAUACUCCAUCAAAACAUAACUGUCAUGGCCGUCACUUGCAUACUGUUGGGGGAGUAGCAGAGAAGGAUGUUUGUACUCGCUGUAGUCACAAAAGAUGGCAUCUUUUAAAGCCAACCAACAAAUCUAAAGAACAAAGAAAAAGCCGACAAGGAGAAGUUACAGUACUUUCUGUGGGAAGAUUUAGAGUCACAAAAGUAGAGCACAAAUCUACAUCCAAAGAGCGUAAAAGCUUGAUGUCUGUUAGUGGUGUUGAAGGUGUCAAUGGAGAAGUGCCUGCCACACCUGUCAAACAUGGAUCACGAGAAGUUCCUGCCACACCUAUCAGACAAGGAGCAGGAGGGAGAACUGGCACAGAAUAACAGGUGCUGGUGAGGACUAUGUCCUCAGUACAAAAAACACUAUCACAACUAGCACUAACUGGAAAAUACUUGGGCAGUCAGCAGAGUCAUAAAGCACUGAAUGGGCAUGGAACCAAACUUAUUUAUAAUGGUGGCUGUUAAAAGACUUGCAGAUCACAGCCUCACAGGAAUAUCUGAGAUGUCUGUUGUUUCCUAUAGUUUAAGUGCUGCAGUUAUUGCUUCUUGUAUCAAAUGGUGCCAUAACUGUGGAAUCUUGGAUACCUCUGAAUGGUGCACAUACCUUGUUAGGAGCACCAUUUCAAAUUUUGGUCGGGGUGGGGAGGCAAUUUUAACCAUGAUUCCAAGGGCUACUUAGGCACCUGAAAACUUUUUUUUUCCAGAUAAUAACUUAGAAAUUAGCUGACAAGAGCCCUGUAACUAAUUCCUAUAUAAAGAAAGAAAAAAAUACAUACGAAUGCCAAUUAAAGCCAUAUUUAAGUUUAUAUUUAAAUUUAGAACAAUAAGGAGAUAAUACAGCAAGAUAUUCCCAAUCCCAAAAUUGGAAUAGAUCAUCUGACUUUUGGAAGCAUCCUACUAGGACAAGUCUCCAUGAGUUUAUAUUACACCUACCUGGGAUUCUAGGGGUGUUACUCUAGUACAAAUAAUAAGACUAGAAACUGACUUUAAAUGGGAGUGAAACUGACAUUUAAAAGUCACUUUCUCUUCUGUUUAAAGGCUAUUUACUUUCCAGGAGGCUCUUAAACACAACACUGCAAUGAUUGAGUUGUAGUUCUCACAGGAGAAUAUGUAAAACCAAACACCAAGAAAAUUGCACAUUUUAAAGUUUGAGAAAAAAUAGUCUUGUUUAUUAUUUAAAGUUUGUAGAUAUGUUUUUAAAGUUCCAGUCUGUGUUGAGAUGCUGUACCUCAGUUCUGAUUGCUGUAAAAUGGGAAUAAUAUUUGCCUGCGUGCCAUAUGGAAUUAUAAGGAUUAGAUUGAGAUCUGUGGGACAGGAACUGAGCCUUCUUAGUGGUUUGUAUGGUGCUUAGAACCACUGCGGACUUCUCCUGAUUUAAGGACUUUGGACACUAGUGUAACAUUCAUCAGCUGUUGAGAUGCCUGCUGGUGGUAGCUGAAGGGGACUUACCUGGUGGGUGGGAUGUCAGUGGAGUACAGGUCGAAAUCUGUGUUGACCAGCAGCACAGACCCAGUGAGCUCAGCACCUGCUGGCAGAAUUUGCAGCGCAGCAUGGGAACACACCUGUCCUUGAAGCUGCACCCACUAGUGGACAUGAUGGCUCUGGACCAGAAGGGUCUGUCUCCGACCUUUUCCCAGGAAGAGGUGAGGGCGCUUCCUGCUUCUCUGAGGGCAAAUGGAUCCCAAGACCCACUUAUCUGCUCCUAGCCCCCCCAUCCUUCUUCAGCUCCCCUUCCCUCAGGAUCCUUGCCCCGGGGUCUGUUCCUCCUCACUACUCCCUCCCUCAGUUCACAGCCCUAUGCCCUCACCUCUCCCUUCCUGUGGAGAUUGACUCCCUUUUCCCACCCCACUGUACCCCUUCCCUCCCCAGGCUCCAGCAUCCCUUGCUCCUUCUGUCCUUCCCACCAUCACCACAGGGGACUCUGUGCUCCCUCCUCACCACUGGAGACCCUCUGCUUCUUCCCCCCAACCACCACUGGGGACCCUGUGCUCCCUCCUCCCACCCUGACUGACCCCUUCCUUGCCUGCUCCACCCCUAGGGGCCCUGCUUUUCCCAGGGGCCAACCCCCUUCUCUUUGCCUUGGGCCAGUUAAGUUGUCUGUGUCGGUCCUGCUGUCAUUUGACCCCAGUGGGCUAGGCUGUGCGAGCCCCUCAUCUUCCAAGCUUUCAGACUCAGUUUGAAUCCCUAUCCUUGCAUCCCAUUGGAAGAGAGCGGCUGCUGAUUAGAGGAGGGGGCGGGAUGGGUGAGCUACCACAGUGUAGAAAACUGACUGCGGGAGCCAGAGGACCCUGGCUCCUGAAGGAGGGGAGCUAGGUGCAUGUCAUGGCAGGUAAGAGCUCCGCCUGGGGCUGGGGUGUGUGCCAUGAGCAGACCUCCAGUAUGAAACGGGUUGAAAUGGUGCCCCUGCUUGUGUUGGUAGCUCUUGGCUUUUUAGUGGCUAUUGCUGCAAUGACCUACAUAAAGUGACCUACAAAGGACUUCCAUUUAAAAACUGGACUUUGCCCUUUUUGCUUUCUUAUGCGGUAAAAUGGUAGCUUGAACACUUUUUUUUUUAUUUUAACUUUUUAAGUGUUUUUUCUUGCUUCCCAUUAGAGUCGAUCUCUGCCAGCUAACCUGAGCACCAGAGCGCCACAGAGAAGUGAUAUAAUUAAGAUGACCUAUUUAUGCUAAGGCAACAAGGAGGAAGAGAAAACGCACUGAGAAGAGGAGAAGACACAGAGUAAGGAAUGGAAAUGAACACUAAAACUCAUGUGACUCUUCUCUAUAGGUUGACUUCCUAAAGUCUGUUAGAAAUAUUGAUCUGUAUUCUUGGUCGUUGUACUAUGGAUCAAGCAAAUCUGAAUUCUGUGGCAGGGCUCACCGUACAUUCCUGUGCGUAGGUUAGUCAUUCACAAUCAGUUUGUUAAACCCGGUAUAAUGGAAAGGAAUGCAUACAGGGUUUUUUUUUUUCAGUUAAUUGUAAGUUUACUUGUAAGGCAUCUGCUAUUGAUUUAAAGUUCUGUUAAUCUAAAUACAAGGCAAUUACUUACAUUUGAGCAUGCUGAAAAAAGCCUGCACACACUAUUCACUAUAUUAAACUAAUAUCUUGUGCUAUCUUCUCCAGUCUGAGGACCCUUCUCCCAAAUUCUUGGUUGUCUAGACACUGGUGUGUGUUAGAGUAGCCUGUAAAUUGCUUUAAUCUGUCUGUUGCCAGUGACCUUAUAGCAGCCAGGAAUUUGCCAGAUACAGGAACAUUCCUGAUCUUGCACUUUUUUCCUCACCAGAGCCCCUCUAGCUGGAAUUAAGGGUGGCCUAGGAGCUCAAUGAUCAGGAGAUCAUUCAGUGACCAGUUAAGUUGGACUCCGGAUUGUUUUGUGCACUCAAAGUGGUGCAGAGCAGCUCCAAUAUACCAGUGAAUCAGGCCACUUGUCAUGAGUGACAUUCUGUUGCAUUGUCAACAAUGUACUUAAAGUAACUUUUGUAAAGGAAAACCAAGUCUGUCAGUUUUAUUGUGGGGUAAAUAGUUUUGUUUCUGUGCAAUGGAGUUUUUAGAAGUGUGUUUGAUAACGUUGCUGAAAUUGAAAACUUAGGAGAUGUACUAUUAUAGGAAAUGUAUUUAUGUCACUGUAGCUCUUUAUAGUUUCUGUGAAGGAAUCUAUGCAGGGGUAGGUCCUAAGCACUUCAGAUUUGUAGCCAAUAAAACAUUUCCAGUCACUGACAGUGUUGCAUCCUGUGGUCAGCAGCCUAUUGGUUUGCCUUCAUCUUACAAAGAAAAACGUAUGUAACCCUUGGGGAAAGCAAAAGUUCUUCCACCAGAACUUCCUCACCGCUGUGUCCAAAUUAAAAUAUUUAAUUAGCUUAGCAAUGUAAACAAUGGAAAACGUAGGCAAGUUGUAUUAUAUGGGAACAGCUUUAUCCUUUAUUUCCAAAUAAGAAACUUAUGGCAUGGUGGCUGUCAUGGUUACAGGGAUAACAACUUUUGAUCAUUGUCUGGUCUCUGAGUAUACCCCUCACCUCCUGAGCCUCAUGUGUUUACUUCCCAUGGGGUGGUGAUUCUCCCCCAUUUAGAGUGGGGCAUUGAAUCAAGCAUGCUUAUGCCAGCAGGUCCAACUACGUUCAGCACGUGCUGGUCUGUCUUUGGGAGCUUGUUACCAGUGGCAAAUACAAUGACCAAACAGCCUUCUGAAAACAAAAGUAUUUUCUAUUCUUAACAGUUAGCAGCAAAGUAAAACAUGAGAGAGAGGAUUUUUAAACAACAAAAGGCCUACAUGCUGUCUGUCCUGUCUAAGCGCUUUCACUCUGCAAGAGGAUUCUGGAAAGGCCUAGCUUUGUCAGACACCAUGUUAGGUGUCUGUGGGUGUCAGUCUGUUUCCCCUGAACAGCUUCCUGAUAACUACCUAACUGUUGGCCAGAGAAUCUUUUUAACCAGUCUUCUCACAUUCCUGUGCUUGGACUCUGCUGCUCAAAACCAAUUUGGUGGGCUCCAUUGGAGGUCAAGCCCACCUCUUCUGAGCCAAUUGCCCUGCAAUUGUCUCCACACACACAUAUACUUUUUGUUGAGGAAUGUAUUAUCUUGAAUCAUUGUUUUGCCUUCCUACUUGUUUUUUUACAACAGCCUGCUAUUAAACUAAGACAAUAUCAUAUAGUAAACUUGCCUGACAACAAUCAAACAUAUAGCACACAAUACAGUAUUCAAAUAUUAUUAUAGAGCAGCCCCGUGUCCUUCAGAGUGUCUGUCUCUGAAAAUAGGUACCCUCAAUCCAUUUGUGCCAACUAUUAAGCCAUAAUAUCAGUGUCCUUUCUUAUAUUCAUAUUUGAGUGUGACUCUCUGAUACAAAAUCAGUGACUGUUAAGCAGUGCUAAUUGUUGUUUGUAUCUACUUGCCAUGAUUACCACUUUGCCUUAGAAAUGAUGUGUUAAUUGGGAGCAUUUGUGAUAUUUUGGUAGACUUUGCUGUAUAACAGAAACUGAAAAGUGACACUUUUGCUCUACUGCGUGCCUAACAAGAAUACAUAUCAAUCUGUAGCUUUAAUGCGUGUCAAUAGGGAUUGUACUAAAUCAUGAGAAAACUAUAAAGCAGUUUAAUCUGCUUCACAAACUUCUUGUAAAUGUCUUUGUAACUGAUUCAUGUUUUAAAUAAAUGCUGUGUUUUUGUAGCUGUGUCGGUCCGAGGAUAUUAGACACACAAGGUGGGUGAGGUUAUAUCUCUUAUUGGACCAAUUCUGUUGAGAGAGACAGAAGUUGGUCCAAUAAAAGAUAUUACCUCACCCACCUUGUCUUUUUAAAUGAAUACUGUCCAUCUUCUUUAGUCGGAGUAAGUGCUCUAAUUUUUUUUCUUUAUCUCUGAAAGUCAGGUUUCUCCAUCAGCCCAUGUAUUAGUAAUUAUCAAUAUGUGUAACAGCAAAAGAUUUUCCCCUGGCUAUCAUUUCACAUGCCCCAUAGGUUGCCACUUAAAGUUCAGGAAUGAGGAAUAUUGUAGCAGUAUUGCGAAGCCCAAAUGUUCAAAAAUCAUGAGUUAGGCUCACCAAAAAUCAUGAGAUUAUGUAAAAAUAAUAGAUUUGAUGUUUGUUUGCCUUUUGCUCUUUGAGCCUUCAGGGUGCAUUGGAGGUCACAUAUUGAAGCUUUCUCCCUAGCCAUGGGGGCUAGAAACUUACUUUUUCUUUAAGAAUGAAGGCUGAAAUCAUCACACAUCCUUGACUCCAGGAGCUGGGGCUUAAGGAAAACAAUUAUCAUGAGAGUUGGCAACACUGUAUAUAGGGAAGUUUACAUUGCUGACUGUGCUCUACUUGAUCCGUAGGUGGCAGAUGUAGUCCAGACAUCUCAGACCUACAAGAGAAACCAAUUAUUUUUGUCAAUUCUAAAUAAAAUUAAGUCUUUUAACAAAUGUUUUAUUUACAGUUUUCAAGAACGGAGUUCCAAAAGUAACUUUUAUCUGAGCCCGACUGCUAUUUGGGAAUAAAUACAAAGAUUUAAUAGAUUUUUCAUUAUUAGUGUAAAUAAGAUAUCUUCCUUCACUCAGAUUUAACUCAGACUACCAAUAUAAUCUUAAAACUACUAAAAGAUACUUAAAUUGAUAAAUCCUUGGCCUACCGUGUUUUCCCCUUAUGUUUGCAGAUUUCACUCUUUUCAUGAACAGCUCUACAGCAUACUAAAAUGUAUGCAGAAGGAAUUUAAAUCGUGCCAGUAUAUUAUUUUCAGAAUUCCAGGAUAUCGUGAGAAUAGGUAACUGAAGUAUACGUAUGUGACAGUAUUUUUAAUAUUAAAAUUACUGGAUGAAAAUGUGGACUCUAGAGUAAAAGUUGUUUUGUACUUACACAGCCAACUAAACAGUUGAUUGUUUUGAAUAUGAAGAUGCGCAAUUGUAGAGUAUCCCGAAAUCUGAGAUUUUAUUCUGAUGGGAGCACAUUUUAGUAAUAUGUGGCUUAACACUGCGAGUAAAUAUGCUCAAAAGAGUGAAAAUGUUUAAUAUAUAUGCUAUUUUUUACUUAAUUUAAAAUUAGUUGCUAUUUUGAUUCCAUUAGAAAUAUGCAAAAUUUUUAUCCAGUACCAUUCAACAUGUAAAAUCUUAUUAGUUGAGAUUAUCUAGUACUUAUUUAACAUGAAUUUCUAAUUAUGUACAUAAGGCUGAUGUUUGUGGGAAGUAAAAUGUGUAUUGCCACUUUAGCAAAAAAAAAUGUGGUAAAUGUGUGAUCUUAUUACAUAUAAGUGGUACAAACAUUGCCGUCAUCAAAAAAACCAAAUAAACCUAAACUUCAUGAAGUCAGUUUUUCUUAAUCUUGCACAUCAACUGUAUUUUUAACAAUAUGGUUUGUAUAAGACUUUUGUACUACCAAAGUAGUAAAAAAAUAAAAUAAUAAACUGAUUCUUAAA